UGCCGACCACUGCACUAAGCCCCUGGCACUGGAAGGAAAAUAAAGAGAUAAAAAGGUAAUUCUAAGGUAUGAAAAGUGCUACGAAGGAAUGAAACGGGGGUGAUAGGACUGAGGUAGGGAGCACUGUUUCUGGAUGGGUCAGGCAGGUCUCUGGACUGAGGCCCCAAGAAUGAGCAGCCAAGGGAGCAUGCUGGCUGCUCAGUUUUGAGAGAUCAUUCCAGGUGGUACAGGCCCAGCAAGUGCAAAGGCCCUGAGGCUCCAGAAAGGGAGGAAAGGAAGCGGCCCACCUUCACCGCAGGGGUUGCGUAGGAGGUUCCUGCGGAGGCUGCACAAAAAGUAAAAAACCUUCCAGUCUGACACGGGCUCGUCGCAGUCCUCGGUGGUGAAGCCCUCCCGCAGGCUCUUGCGUUUCCAGAGGGUCAUGAGGUCGAUGAGGUCGCGCCAGAGGCUGCAGACAAGGCGGCAGUCCAACACCAGCUGACGGGCAGGCACGUUUGUGAAUAUCUCCAGCAGGAUGUUCUCAGGCAGUUCAUUGAUGCUGACCAGGGUCAUAGCUGGGCUGGGGUGCA